CAGAUGAGAAUGACCAGCAACAAUGAGCUGCUCAUGAUCAUUGCUCCCUCCCUGGGAUUCGUGCUGUUGGCACUGCUUCUGGCGUUUUUUCUUCGAGGGAAAUUCGGGAAAGCCAAUUGUUUCCCGAAACACACCAGGCUAGAUGAAGUUGGAGAAGGUAAAGAGGUCCUCAAUGGAAGAGAGGAUGAAGAUGGUCUUUUCACACUAUGAUGUGCCCCUUUUUCUUAGGACUGACGAUGUGGGUAAUGACACGUGAAUCAUCAAAAUAAG